ACAGCGAUAAGGGAACCUCGAGUGCCAGGUUACAAAUCUGGCUGUCGAGAUGCCUAAAAAGCAUUUCAUAGCAAGGGCCGGGCAAGACCGGUGCCAGCCGCCGCGGUAACACCGGCGGCUCGAGUGGUAACCGUUAUUAUUGGGUCUAAAGGGUCUGUAGCCGGCCGGAUAAGUCUCUUGAGAAAUCUGGCAGCUUAACUGUCAGGCUUUCAGGAGAUACUGUCUGGCUCGAGGCCGGGAGAGGUGAGAGGUACUUCAGGGGUAGGGGUGAAAUCUUGUAAUCCUUGAAGGACCACCAGUGGCGAAGGCGUCUCACCAGAACGGACCUGACGGCAAGGGACGAAAGCUAGGGGCACGAACCGGAUUAGAUACCCGGGUAGUCCUAGCCGUAAACGAUACUCGCUAGGUGUCGGCCACGGUGCGACCGUUGUCGGUGCCGUAGGGAAGCCGUGAAGCGAGC
rnacentral:rRNA from 1 species